ensembl:lncRNA
AAUUCUACUUUGUUAGACAUGAAGUGCCUCUGUGUACUGCAACCCUGACCUUGCCAAUGUCACUCUUUCUGAUAUGUGCAAUGCGUAUUACAAUAUGUACUCUACUGAUGUUCUGGCCUUUAGGGCUGUGUCUACAUUAAUAAACUACACUGUUACCCUGCCGACAAAGCUGCUCUACCAAAAAGACAGCAUAGUUUAACUGUGUGAAUGCAAGUUGUAAUGAGUCAUUUGUCCUCAUAUAUACAGAACAGGAUGUGUCCCAUUUUGCAUACAAGUGUUGGCAUUGCUUAUAUUUCUUUCCCGAUAGUAGAUACACAAUUAUUUAUUUAUUUGUGUGUGUGUGUGUGAUUUUAAUUUUUUGGUAAGUAUAAGUGUUUUAUAUUGCAUCACACGUUUCCUUUUCCUGUGUAACAUACAGAUAUUCCGCAGGGCAGUGUCAUUCCUACUAUAUAUGGUCCCAGAAUUUAAGCAUUCCUUUCUAGACCUUCUCCAGAACAGCAAAUUAAAAAAUGUGUCCCAUAUGAAGCUUUGGUUUGGAAAGUAAAAGUAAUGUCUCCCCCAGCAUGAUUGGUAUUUCAAACUGAUUUUAUGUGAAACAUAAUUGGAAAUUGUUGCAUGACAGUAGGAAGUCCCAAGAAAACCAGGAUAUAGAAAGAAAGUAUGACUGACCUACCCUCAUAAAUUGGGUCAAAAUAUUUACUUUAUUGAUUUUGAAAGUAGAAGUACUCCCUCCAGAUGUCUUCCAGAGGUAGAACCAUGGUUUAGAAAUAAUAGAGAGAAUUUCAACUGGUUUGUUUUGCGGUGGAUCAGGCUAUGUGGUAAGUAGCUCACUUCUCUAUGUGUUUGAAAGUGCUGCAAGUUUGGUAAUGUGUUGUUUUCUGUGGUGUUCUUUUUUCUUUUUUUUCCUGUUACCCAGAUUCUUCUGCAGCAUUUUAUCUCCUCAGCUCAGCUCAGUCACUGUUGAUUCAUUUUACACUUUAAGAAAUGUAUAGUAACCUAAGAGAGCCCUCUCCCUUAAGAAAAGGAGAAAAGAUGCUCCACAGUGGGAGAAGCUGUUACUGCUUUUCGUGUUUUGGUACAGAAGCUAGUCACAUUAUUAUCUUCUCAGUGAUCUUUAAUGCCUACAAAAUGACUUAUGUCCUCCUUGCCAUCUUCCAUUCUAAAUUUAAUAGACUCUUACAAAAUUUUCAUAGUAUAACAACUUGCCAGAAAGUUGAGAAGGCCAAAAAUAGAACUAGGAAUUAAAGUCAUUUAAAUCUCUUUUCUUUUUUAUUUAUGAUGAUAGCACUUCAGGCUGAAAAUUGCCAGAAGCCAAUUACUAGCAAUAGAGGAGGGAGGAUGAAGGGUAAAGAAGACUGAACACAGCAUAAAACACCAAGGAGCUACUGCUUCUUUUGCUACUCUGAGAAGUUUCCUCUCAAUAGCUUGACAGAGUUAUAAAUGCUGUACUGCCUUAAAUGCUCUCAGAAUGACUUAUACAGAACCUUUUUAUUGACUCUUAGCAUGUUUUCAUAAUCCCUUAGACUCACGGUCAUUUUUCAUUCCGGCAGGAGCAUCUUCUCUAAGGCUGAAUUGCUGACUAGUUAAAGAUAGUAGGGCAGCAGAACCGCCCCAGAAACCUUCAGUCUCAGCAGAUUCACAUGCAUAAGAAAUUGCAAAGGUAGGUCAUUUUUCUUUCUUUCUUUCUUUUUUACUGGAAAAAAAUUAUAAGGAAUACUUUCAGGAUGAAGCAUUCUAAUUUGAACUUGGUUUGGACAUGUUAUUUUUGAAUGUGCCAGAAGAGCACUUGGCAGAUGGAGGAGAAUAGGAUAGAGCUUCUCUAUUACAAAGCUCUCUUCCCAGUGCCUAACAAGAGGUCACUUUUUAAAUGUUCUUUGCCAAGAUCAUUGCAGAGGAAUGUUCCUGGACUGAGGCAUAAGGACCAUGGCCACUCUGUUUGGUCAUGUAUGUUCUUUCCCCUGCCCAGUAGUGUUAUUGACUUUAAUCCUCUUCCCUCCCAGAAUUAUUUUCUUUCCUGGUAGAAAUGAUAUUUGUAGAUGUGGAAGAGAAGGCUGGAGCUCUGACAGAAUAUUGGGUACAGAGCAGUACAGACCAUUAGAACAAGCUUUGUGUGAUGAGUCAGAGGGUUUAAGCUUCUGUUAUGCUCUGAAUUGUUGUACUUCAGAAUUUUGCCAAGAUGUUGAAAAAGUUGCUGUAGUCUGUGAAACUUAUUAAAUGAUUGACUUCUAGUAGGAGAGUGCACUGAGGUGUGGGUGGUUGGAUAUAUCCAAUGUGGCUUGAGACAUCUGAAAUAAUAAAAAUCAAUUAUAUGUUUUAGUCUCUUGACUGAAAUAGCAAAUAUCUCGCUCUGCAUAAAAAAAGUAGGUAAAAGUGUGGACAAGUGAAUGUCUUGGUCUUUUAAGUUAUAAACUCAAGGUCUCUUUGACUUUAGA